rnacentral:misc_RNA from 1 species
AGUUCGAUCAUGGCUCAGAUUGAACGCUGGCGGGAUGCUUUACACAUGCAAGUCGAACGGCAACACGGACUUCGGUCUGGUGGCGAAGGUGGCGAACGGGUGAGUAAUGUAUCGGAACGUGCCUAGUAGCGGGGGAUAACUACGCGAAAGCGUAGCUAAUACCGCAUACGCCCUUCGGGGGAAAGCGGGGGGACCUUCGGGCCUCGCUAUUAGAGCGGCCGAUAUCGGAUUAGCUAGUUGGUGGGGUAACGGCUCGCAACUGGCUAAUCCGCUCUAAUGGUGCAGACCCGAAGAUCCCCGCUCCCCCGAGGAGCGUAUGCGGUAUUAUACGCUUUUGCUGUAGUUAUAUCCCGCUACUAGGCACGUUCCGAUACAUUACGCGGUCUACUGCGCCAUAAAUCCCUGCCGAGUCCGCUCUUUUUUUGCCAUUCGACUACGCUCUGUAAGCAUCCCCCGCAGCGUUUGACUUC